ACGAACGCUGGCGGCGUGCCUAAUACAUGCAAGUAGAACGCUGAAGAGAGGAGCUUGCUCUUCUUGGAUGAGUUGCGAACGGGUGAGUAACGCGUAGGUAACCUGCCUUGUAGCGGGGGAUAACUAUUGGAAACGAUAGCUAAUACCGCAUAACAAUGGAUGACCCAUGUCAUUUAUUUGAAAGGGGCAAAUGCUCCACUACAAGAUGGACCUGCGUUGUAUUAGCUAGUAGGUGAGGUAACGGCUCACCUAGGCGACGAUACAUAGCCGACCUGAGAGGGUGAUCGGCCACACUGGGACUGAGACACGGCCCAGACUCCUACGGGAGGCAGCAGUAGGGAAUCUUCGGCAAUGGGGGCAACCCUGACCGAGCAACGCCGCGUGAGUGAAGAAGGUUUUCGGAUCGUAAAGCUCUGUUGUAAGUCAAGAACGAGUGUGAGAGUGGAAAGUUCACACUGUGACGGUAGCUUACCAGAAAGGGACGGCUAACUACGUGCCAGCAGCCGCGGUAAUACGUAGGUCCCGAGCGUUGUCCGGAUUUAUUGGGCGUAAAGCGAGCGCAGGCGGUUUGAUAAGUCUGAAGUUAAAGGCUGUGGCUCAACCAUAGUUCGCUUUGGAAACUGUCAAACUUGAGUGCAGAAGGGGAGAGUGGAAUUCCAUGUGUAGCGGUGAAAUGCGUAGAUAUAUGGAGGAACACCGGUGGCGAAAGCGGCUCUCUGGUCUGUAACUGACGCUGAGGCUCGAAAGCGUGGGGAGCGAACAGGAUUAGAUACCCUGGUAGUCCACGCCGUAAACGAUGAGUGCUAGGUGUUGGAUCCUUUCCGGGAUUCAGUGCCGCAGCUAACGCAUUAAGCACUCCGCCUGGGGAGUACGACCGCAAGGUUGAAACUCAAAGGAAUUGACGGGGGCCCGCACAAGCGGUGGAGCAUGUGGUUUAAUUCGAAGCAACGCGAAGAACCUUACCAGGUCUUGACAUCCUUCUGACCACUCCGUAAUGGGAGUUUUCCUUCGGGACAGAAGAGACAGGUGGUGCAUGGUUGUCGUCAGCUCGUGUCGUGAGAUGUUGGGUUAAGUCCCGCAACGAGCGCAACCCCUAUUGUUAGUUGCCAUCAUUCAGUUGGGCACUCUAGCGAGACUGCCGGUAAUAAACCGGAGGAAGGUGGGGAUGACGUCAAAUCAUCAUGCCCCUUAUGACCUGGGCUACACACGUGCUACAAUGGUUGGUACAACGAGUUGCGAGUCGGUGACGGCAAGCUAAUCUCUUAAAGCCAAUCUCAGUUCGGAUUGUAGGCUGCAACUCGCCUACAUGAAGUCGGAAUCGCUAGUAAUCGCGGAUCAGCACGCCGCGGUGAAUACGUUCCCGGGCCUUGUACACACCGCCCGUCACACCACGAGAGUUUGUAACACCCGAAGUCGGUGAGGUAACCUUUUGGAGCCAGCCGCCUAAGGUGGGAUAGAUGAUUGGGGUG
rnacentral:rRNA from 1 species